rnacentral:lncRNA from 1 species
CACGGCCCUGGGGCAGCUGCAAGGCUGUGCUGGCCCUUUGGGCACAGGAUGGUGGCAGUGACCAGCCUGUCCCCUCCCUCCAUCACCCUGCCCACGUUUCUGCAGGCAGUCAAUAAGGGCAGUGGGAGGUGGAGCUGCAGCAUCCCUUGGAGAGCACCAAGAGGACACUGGGGAGCACCCACCAUCCACAAGGGUCAUCCAUCAGUGCCCAGCUCAGGGGCUUCAGGAUGCUGGGCCUGGUGUGAGGGGGCUGCUGGGGCUGAUACUGGGGGGGAGGGCCUGUGCUCCCCUUGUUUGGGUCGAUAAAGGAUGAGGAUGCCACGUCCCCUCCAUCAGCGCUGGCUCCGCUGUGCCUGUGCAGGGAAGAGGGAAACCUGGGGGGUUGAGUGUGUAAAACCAGGAUGGAGCAGCACCAGCGCAGGGUGGGACACCCCCAGCCAGCCCCUGGAUCUCAGGAUGCCUCUCCAUCAUCUCCAGGUGGAUCUGCCAAGCCCCCGUGUCCCCCUCCCCAGGACCAGGUGUGUCCCACCCCGCCUUUCUGUGCUGGCCACGGUGGAAUCCGGCUUCUCUGCGGGCAGGAGGGGGCUCUGCAGCUCACCUGCCCACGCGUCUGCUCCAACAAAAGCCUUUUUCCCUCCCUGCUCAGCCACAGAAGCCGCCUGGCCCGAUGUUCAGGCAGUAGAAGGACAGAAGGCGCAGGGAUGGGCACUGGGAGCGUUCCCAGGCAAAGCCAUUCGCAGCCGCCGGGAAGAGCGGAAUGAAAGAACGGGAGCAGAGGGAGGCAGGGAAGCCAGGCCACGUCCUUUCCUUCCCUUCGGCUCUAAAAACGCUCCAGACUGGAAAGGCGGAUGGAGGGUUGGAGCUGAAAAUGUGAUUUCUUUCCCCUGUGAGUGGCAGUGGCCGUGGAGGCGAGCCGGCCCCGGGGGACCACGAGGCAAAGCUGAGCAGCCGCCGCUGCUCUCCGAGUGCCACCGCAGAAAGGUCAGCCUUUGGCAGAGGGGACAGAGGGGACAGAGGGGACACAGCCCCGCAGCCACGUGCGGCCGAGCAGAAGAGACACGGCCCGGCUUUCCAGAGCGGGAGCAAAGCUCCUCGCUGGGAUGCGGGGGGCGCAGGCAGAAGGUCCCGGGGCCCCCAGGAUGUGGCC